rnacentral:rRNA from 1 species
UUGAACGCUGGCGGCAGGCCUAACACCUGCAAGUCGAAUGGUAACAGGAAACAGCUUGCUGUUUCGCUGACGAGUGGCGGACGGGUGAGUAAUGUCUGGGAAACUGCCUGAUGGAGGGGGAUAACUACUGGAAACGGUAGCUAAUACCGCAUAACGUCGCAAGACCAAAGAGGGGGACCUUCGGGCCUCUUGCCAUCAGAUGUGCCCAGAUGGGAUUAGCUAGUAGGUGGGGUAACGGCUCACCUAGGCGACGAUCCCUAGCUGGUCUGAGAGGAUGACCAGCCACACUGGAACUGAGACACGGUCCAGACUCCUACGGGAGGCAGCAGUGGGGAAUAUUGCACAAUGGGCGCAAGCCUGAUGCAGCCAUGCCGCGUGUAUGAAGAAGGCCUUCGGGUUGUAAAGUACUUUCAGCGGGGAGGAAGGGAGUAAAGUUAAUACCUUUGCUCAUUGACGUUACCCGCAGAAGAAGCACCGGCUAACUCCGUG